rnacentral:rRNA from 1 species
GAGUUUGAUCCUGGCUCCCCAUUGAACGCUGGCGGUAUGCUUAACACAUGCAAGUCGAACGGUAGCAGCAGAGCUUGCUCUGGCUGACGAGUGGCGGACGGGUGCGUAACGCGUGGGAAUUUACCUUGUAGUGGGGGAUAGCCCGGAGAAAUCCGGAUUAAUACCGCAUAAUCUCUACGGAGCAAAGUGGGGGAUCUUCGGACCUCACGCUAUUAGAUGAGCCCGCGUUAGAUUAGCUUGUUGGUGAGGUAAUGGCUCACCAAGGCGACGAUCUAUAGCUGGUUUGAGAGGAUGAUCAGCCACACUGGGACUGAGACACGGCCCAGACUCCUACGGGAGGCAGCAGUGGGGAAUAUUGGACAAUGGGCGCAAGCCCUGAUCCAGCAAUACCGCGUGUGUGAAGAAGGCCCGAGGGUUGUA